UUGCUUCAGCAGUGGAUAUACUGGAACUGGAGCAAUACAGAGAGGUUUAGCACGUCCUCUACACAAGGAUGACACAAAAAUUUGUGAAGCAACCAUACUUUUA